UGAGCAAUCUGCCCUUCUCAUCGGAAUAAGCGUUGGAAACGACGUCUAAUGCCGAAUACGACCUCCUUUCGCAUGAUCGGAGGUGGAAAGCUCCGGCGGAGAAGGAUGAGCUCGCGGCCUAUCAGCUAGUUGGUGUGGGUAAUGGCCCACCAAGGCGACGACGGGUAGCCGGCCUGAGAGGGUGACCGGCCACACUGGGACUGAGACACAGCCCAGACUCCUAGGGAGG
rnacentral:rRNA from 1 species